AAUGACAUCAAAUACUUUCAGAUGGGGGGAGCCUCAAUUUUAAAGAACAAGUAUUUGAAUAGCACAGCCAGAUUUCAUACGUGGAGAAUGAAGCUGGGUACAAGAGAAGCCUGCUGUUGAUCACUAAAUGGCAGCUGAAGGGAAGAAUUUAUUCAAGUGUGCUCUGCAGUUACUGUUUAAAGAGCACCUGUUUGCACAGAUUGUUCCUUCCUCAAAUAGGAGCUAAAGGCUUACUUAUUAGCAUCUCAACCCAGAUUUCACUGAUCAUCCCAAAUUUAUACUUUCUAAAGAAGCUGGAUAAUUUAAAAAUGUUUGGCCCUGAUCUAACUUCUACAAGGAAAAAAGAAUUCUAGGAACCUCCGAAGAUGUCUUAGAGCUACUGAUGUAUUUGUGCUGCCUGAUUUCUGUUGUGCCAAGGAUGGGAACUCCCUCAUGAUGAGCAAGGAAUCCUUAUCCCGUUGGGCUUUGCAGGUGUUUGAAUGUAGCAGUAGAGAAGAACGCAGUGAGAAGUCCCACAGCAAGCUGGAGGGAAAAUCUAUUAGAAAAUGAACAACAAAACAACUCAGCACAAGUAGCACCAGCUUGAUAAAAUGGUGGAAGAAGUAUGACAGGGGCAGAGCUGCUGUUAGGUGGGGACUUGAGGCCUGAGGAGCCUACUGUGAUGGGAGGACUUAGAAGACAUAAGCCCAAUGUUCUCAAUUUCCAGUAAACUGGAUCAGUCAAUAAUUCAUUUUCCUUGGGUACUUCCAUCAUGUUUGGUCAUUUCCUCCCGUAUCAUUAAGUAGGAAAGUCCAGCAGUGCAGAUGAGCAAUGUGUCUCACUGGGUCACUGCAUGAAAUGCUCUGCUUGCUCUUUAGCGUUUUCUCAGUUUAACUGUUUGGUUUUAUGACCUUGGCCACAGCCUUUCAUAAGAGCAUGUAGGUCCGCCAUGACAGGAAUGAGAGAUUUGAGGUGGCAGAAGCCAUUUGCCUCUACAUACGCUUAUAUAAACCACCUCAACCACAACAAAAACACCUCAAAAUCUUCCCAAACCCUCAAGGAACCUCUAGACCAUGUUAUUUCCCCAAACGUGCAUCUCCUUGUCGCACAGGAGCCAGCUCUU
ensembl:lncRNA